AGCAAAGAACCAAGGAGAAAACCCUAGUUUCAGAAAUUCACAAGAUUAAGAAGGAAUUAAGAGCCCAAGUUAAUGCAUGAACUCAAAUCUUUAACCCUCUAAGCUUGUUCAACAAAUGGUGUAAAGGAGGAAGGUUCGAGUCACGCGAAGCAACAAGGAAAUCAAGAACGAGGUAAAUCUCAAGUUUAGCUUUCAAGCUUCGCCCAGUUCGAACACACUUCAAGACCCGCCUUAUGUUCCGCUACUUUUGUAAAGAAGACAACGCUUAAUAUUUUGGUCUCUAUGUCUAUAUCUAGUAGUUAAAAACUUAGUUCUUGUUAUGUAUUUUUGAACUUAUCGAA